rnacentral:rRNA from 1 species
AGUGAACGCUGGCGGUAGGCCUAACACAUGCAAGUCGAACGGCAGCACAGUAAGAGCUUGCUCUUACGGGUGGCGAGUGGCGGACGGGUGAGGAAUACAUCGGAAUCUACUUUUUCGUGGGGGAUAACGUAGGGAAACUUACGCUAAUACCGCAUACGACCUACGGGUGAAAGCAGGGGAUCUUCGGACCUUGCGCGAUUGAAUGAGCCGAUGUCGGAUUAGCUAGUUGGCGGGGUAAAGGCACACCAAGGCGACGAUCCGUAGCUGGUCUGAGAGGAUGAUCAGCCACACUGGAACUGAGACACGGUCCAGACUCCUACGGGAGGCAGCAGUGGGGGAUAUUGGACAAUGGGCGCAAGCCUGAUCCAGCCAUACCGCGUGGGUGAAGAAGGCCUUCGGGUUGUAAAGCCCUUUUGUUGGGAAAGAAAAGCAGCAGGUUAAUACCCCGCUGUUCUGACGGUACCCAAAGAAUAAGCACCGGCUAACUUCGUG